rnacentral:rRNA from 1 species
UAGGGAAUCUUCGGCAAUGGACGAAAGUCUGACCGAGCAACGCCGCGUGAGUGAAGAAGGUUUUCGGAUCGUAAAACUCUGUUGUUAGAGAAGAACAAGGACGUUAGUAACUGAACGUCCCCUGACGGUAUCUAACCAGAAAGCCACGGCUAACUACGUGCCAGCAGCCGCGGUAAUACGUAGGUGGCAAGCGUUGUCCGGAUUUAUUGGGCGUAACGCGAGCGCAGGCGGUUUCUUAAGUCUGAUGUGAAAGCCCCCGGAUCAACCGGGGAGGGUCAUUGGAAACUGGGAGACUUGAGUGCAGAAGAGGAGAGAGGAAUUCCAUGUGUAGCGGUGAAAUGCGUAGAUAUAUGGGGAAACACCAGUGGCGAAGGCGGCUCUCUGGUCUGUAACUGACGCUGAGGAUCGAAAGCGUGGGGAGCAAACAGG